rnacentral:rRNA from 1 species
UGGGGAAUCUUGCGCAAUGGGGGCAACCCUGACGCAGCGACGCCGCGUGCGGGACGAAGGCCUUCGGGUCGUAAACCGCUUUCAGCAGGGACGAGGCCGAGAGGUGACGGUACCUGCAGAAGAAGCCCCGGCUAACUACGUACCAGCAGCCGCGGUAAUACGUAGGGGGCGAGCGUUAUCCGGAUUCAUUGGGCGUAAAGCGCUCGUAGGCUGCCCGCUAGGUCCGGGGUCAAAUCCGGGGGGCUCAACCCCCGCACGCCCCGGAUACCGGCGGGCUUGAGUCGGGUAGGGGAAGGCGGAAUUCCAGGUGUAGCGGUGGAAUGCGCAGAUAUCUGGAAGAACACCGGUGGCGAAGGCGGCCUUCUGGGCCUCGACUGACGCUGAGGAGCGAAAGCUGGGGGAGCGAACAGGAUUAGAUACCC